CCUCGGUUUUGGCGGCCAGGAAGCGCGACCUUCGGCUACUCUCCCAGCUUGGCUUCAGGGAUGGAGACCGCUUUUUAGUUAUUGUUUUUCUGUGGGUGAUACGAUCUCGGAGCGUGGGAACCGGAGGGAGACAAAAGCAGUGGCUUAGGUGGCGCUUAAGCAGAAGUGAAAGGACUCAAUUUUAUUGUUUUUUAAAUCUUUGUUUUUUCGUUUUAUUUCUGGUAGAUAGUUGGGGAACAAAAGGUGUGCUUUCGAACCACCUAUGGGAAGAGAGGUGUUGCUUUUAUUCUUAAAGUCUCACAAUAGUGGAAGCUUCAGAAUGGAGACGGUUGUUAGUUUAGGGCACCGCUGUCCAGUAGCACUAUAAUGCGAGCCACGUGUGGAAUGUAAAAUAUAGAGGGAAGUAACCCUACUAGUACAUUUUAUUUAACUCAAAGUACACAAAAUAUUAAUUCAAUGUGGUCUGUACAAAUCAUUGAGAUAGUUUAGUUUUUUUUUUUUUAACUAAGUCUUGGAAAUCGGCAUGUUACACUGACAGCUUAUCUAGUCAUAUUUCAGGGGCUUAAUACCCGCAUGUGGCUAACGUACUGGUCAGCACAGGUCUAAGCUAGAGGUCUAGGUCUGGAGACCAGAAACAUUGGCAUCACCUGGGAGCUUUUUAGACCUGCACAUUCUCGGCUCUUCUCCCUCUCCCCCGCAACCUGCUGAAUCAGACUACAUUUUAACAAUAGCCUCAGGUGACUGGUAUACAUAUUAAAGUUUGAGAACCACUUUCUUCUAGUGAACCAACAGGCAGGCAGGCAGGCGUCAAGCUUGGCUGCCAGCUUCUUGCUAGAUAUGUCAUUUUAGGUCUUUCAAGAUUGCCCUCUGUGUGUGUUAUUUAAGGUUGGUAUGCUUUUGGUUUUCUCCUUGGGAAAAGAAGGAUGAGAAUAUUGUUUAACCACUUCUCUACACAAGUGUAUGCAGGAGAGCAGUUGCUAAGUGUUUAAACACCACGCUAUAGAAAUGUAGAAACAACCACAGCAUUGGUGUUUUUUUUUUCUUCAUUCCAGGAACAGCUUUUCUUAAAGGCCUGAAGACUGAACAUUCAUUUCAUUAAAAAUAUAUGGCUUAUUUGCUUUUUGCCUGGUACUCUGAUAGUCUCUGGGUAUGGAAAUGUAACCAUUGGGCAGUGUGCAAUAUAGUGAGAUAUUAUUGGCAGGUUAACAAUUAAAAUACAGGAUAAUGGGGGUGUAUGAAUGCAUAUGUACAGGAGAGAGCAACCAACCAGGUGAAAAAAAGGUUUGGAGCUCAGGUGCUGGUUCAGGCAGAAUAAUAAGUGAAAAGGUGAAGUUGGCCGGGCGCGGUGGCUCACGCCUGUAAUCCCAGCACUUUGGGAGGCCGAGGUGGAUGGAUCACUGAGGUCAGGAGUUCAAGACUGGCCUGGCCAAGAUGGUGAAACCCCGCCUCUACUAAAAAUACAAAAAUCAGCCGGGCAUGGUGGCGGGCACCUGUAAUUCCAGCUACUUGGGAGGCUGAGGCAGAGAAUUGCUUGAACACGGGAGGCGGGGAUUGCAGUGAGCCGAGAUCACACCACUGCACUCCAGCCUAAGUGACAGAGCGAGAAUCCGUCUCAAGAAACGAAAAGGUGAAGUCAGUGGCAUGUUUUAAGAGUUUCUUGGAGUUUAGACAUAGGCAAUAGGGAGUGUUUCAGAAUUUUAAAAUAGAGAAGUGGCAAAUGAUGGAAUCCCUUUUGUCUCAGCAUCUUAUUUUUGGGGCAUAGAGGUCAACCCUAUUUCUUGUGUAUAAAGCUGACAUCAUCAUCAUCUAACAUUUCUUGAGUGUUUAAUACGUACUGGGUCCUGUACAUGCAUAGUUCCUAUUAAUCGUCACAACUUACCAAGCUCUGGCUAGUUAAGUAAGUUGGCCAAGAUCAUAUUGCUAAGUGGUAGAGCUCAGGUUUGGACUCAGAUCCACCUGACUCUAGAUCUGAGAGCCUGAGAAUGAAUGAAUGUUAGUGAGGAAUUUGAGAAAGGCC
rnacentral:lncRNA from 1 species